AAGUGCCCAAAGACAGGAGGCUGCCUGCCAGCGACUCCACGGGCUCAGGCUGUUUGUAGUUCAUGUGCAUAAUUUUUAAAGAUAGACAUAAGACAUACCCCUGAAGAUGAGUACAAGAGAGAAAGACAGGGCUCUGAAAAUACUGCCACAGGCUCAAGUUCCAAAGUGCUGGAGUUACAAAAGGAUAAAGGACAACGCAAAGGACUUUUUAGCCAAAGAAGAACCAGAAAGGUUCUCUCCAACAGGAAGAGUCCUAGGGAAUUGGAGAUGUCGCGAAGGAAUGUUGUAAGGAGAAUUCAAGCCUAAAACGGUUCUGAGCACUGAUUUCAUCAAGCCGAUGGAGGCAACAACAUAUUCCUUAGGGAAAAUUAAGAUGCACAGUAUGCUUCAAGAUGAUGGCCAAGAACAACCAACUCAACAAGCCUUCAGCAAUUCAUGAUUUGAAUAUCAUGUUCAAGCUACAGACAUCAGCAAACUCGAGAAAAGAAGGUUUGCUCUGGGAGAUUCUACAUGUGACCUGUUUAUAUGUAAUUAUAUUAUCUAUUACUCAAGUAUUUGUCUUGUGCUGUCUAAAUUAUAAGCUUCUCAACUGUUUGCCUUGAGUGAGAUGUGCACGCUAAAGCCUCUCAAUAAAUAUUAAUUGAAUGAAUAACUGA